UACUAGAUUUUGAACUAACUAAAUUAGUGUGGACGUGAUAGAAUUUCGAAUAUGAAUUCAUAACGUUCAAAAUUGGAUCCAUCUUUGGCCCUGAGACAUGUGGCCUGAUGGAAAAUUUUUCUUUGCCAGAUGAGCAAUACCAAGUGUCAAUUCUUCAACCCUCAUAGGGAAAAGUUCUUUAAAGUACCCAAAACAAAGAAAAAGAGUGCAAGAUAUGGUGCUGGUUUUCUCUAUAUUCAUAAAGCAGAGAUUUAAGUUUUACUGCUAAAUGUGAAGAUGCAAAUACAAUAUUAAGUUCUUUUUAAAAUAAGAAGUAUAUAGAGAUAAGCAUCCAGUCAGGGCGAUUCAAACACAUUGAUGUCCUAAGGCGAAAAUCAAACGGAAGUAAAAAAUAUUUUUAUUAAUAAAGUCUAUAUUUUAAAUUUUGAGAUGCAAAGUUAUAAAUAUUAUUAUAUAAUUCGUUUAAUAAUUUUUUUCGUUGAUAUAACUAAUGCAUUUAAUCUUUAUUGAGACAUACUUUAAAUACAUCAGAAUUCUCCUAAUAAUUCUUUACUUUUAUAUAAGAAGUUUAUUUUUACUAUAAAUAAUAUUUAAUAAUUUUUUAAUAAUAACCUAUAAUCUAUUAUGGCUAAAAAAAAUGAGGCGCUUUAAAUUUGGAGCCUUAGGCAGUUGCCUUUUUCUUUAUUAGGUAGAGCCGCCCCUGCAUCCAGUAUUCCUGAACUAUGUCCUAAGUUGUUACGACACAUUCUAAUUUUACGGGAGUCCUAUUACCCUCUGAACUCAAUUUUAGCACAUUUUUGUAAGCCUUUUGUGUUGAUGUACACUAAAAUUAAAGUUGGAGUGUGUUAUAACAAAUUUGGUCAAAGUUCAUAGGUACUAGAUGCUUUACGCAAGUAUAUAUGUUGCCGGAAGAAUAUCUUUAAAAAUAAAAAUAAAAGAACAUGUCUAGAAAACAAAAUAGACUAGAUUUAAAUGCGACUAGCAAGAAUGUGUCUGAUUAGAUUAUCCCGCCAUCUAAAAUGAGCAAAAUGUUGUUAUAUAUUUGAGUAGAUGCACCUUCACACUGAACUGCACCCUGUGUAUAUGUUUAAUUUGGAAACCAAAAGGAGUACAAAAUUAAAAAUGCUGUGGCUCAGCCCUGACCAUGUUGGUUUCCUCUUCUUGUGACUCGAAUGUAACAAAAAAUGGAAGCAAUAAGAGCGGUGGCAAAGCCGCCAAGGAUCACGUCUCCACCAACAACGGACUUGUUGAAAGAGUGAUGAGUCCUGACAUGUGUGACUGCUGGAGCUUGAUCACCUCUUCCUGGCGCAGAACUUGGGACUGAUGUCGAGGUGUCUAAUUUUCUAAGCGCGUUAACUUUUUGCAUAAGCAAAAUUUGAGCUACAACUAGGCAAAUGAGGAGAAACCUAAGCCUAGCCAUGGAAAUAUGAAUAUUGAUUCAAUUGUGCACGCGUUAAAGUCCUAGUACUAAUAUAGACUUGAGAGAAUCGUUUUCAUGUUUAUUUUAUAAGACCGGCAGGUACACUUCCAUCGUCUUAAAUUAUGAAUAUUUGACUCUGAUUUGAUUUUUCAAGUAGUCUUUUCUUCUUCUUCUUCUUUUUUUUUUGUGUUUGUUGAACCAGUCGGAGGAAGUUUUAACACGGGCAGGCUAUGCUUGAGGCAGGUUUAUUUUUGGCAGUUCAUUGAGGAUGACAGCGGUCAAAGAACAGAGAAGAAAACAAGAAAGACAGUGUAACAAAUGUCUUGCUGUAUUAUAUAUAGAUGCAGUAACAAGCAGAGCUCCUCUGGAGGCAGUGACACUGGUGUCAUUAAGAUCAAAUCCAAGAACAUUCAUUGUCUCCAUUAGUUUAGUAAAUCCACCUCUUUUCUUCUGGCAGACUAUUUUUAUCCAAAGCUUAGUUGGACCAAUGUGAGCCACUUGAACUUCAGGCUGUUUUAAAAAGACAAAAAAAUAAAAGUUGCUUUACUGUCUAGUAGUAGUUGAUUGGGAGAUGACCCUUUUAACUCAAGAAUAUCAAAGAUUGUUACUUUGGGUUUAUGCAUAAAGUUACCUA